UACGUAGGGCGCAAGCGUUGUCCGGAAUUAUUGGGCGUAAAGAGCUCGUAGGCGGCUUGUCGCGUCGAAUGUGAAAACUCGGGGCUCAACUCCGAGCUUGCAUUCGAUACGGGCAGGCUAGAGUUCGGUAGGGGAGACUGGAAUUCCUGGUGUAGCGGUGAAAUGCGCAGAUAUCAGGAGGAACACCGGUGGCGAAGGCGGGUCUCUGGGCCGAUACUGACGCUGAGGAGCGAAAGCGUGGGGAGCAAACAGG
rnacentral:rRNA from 1 species